rnacentral:rRNA from 1 species
UACGAAGGGGGCUAGCGUUGCUCGGAAUCACUGGGCGUAAAGGGUGCGUAGGCGGGUCUUUAAGUCAGGGGUGAAAUCCUGGAGCUCAACUCCAGAACUGCCUUUGAUACUGAAGAUCUUGAGUUCGGGAGAGGGAUGUGGAAUUCCAGGUGUAGCGGUGAAAUGCGUAGAUAUCUGGAGGAACACCGGUGGCGAAGGCGGCAUCCUGGACCGGUAUUGACGCUGAGGUGCGAAAGCGUGGGGAGCAAACAGG